GUCUAUUCAGCUUAAGUACCUGCUUAUUAUGCACAAGGACCAGACUCAUUUCAUGUUGGCGUUGUGUCUAUCAGAACAUUGUCACAGGGGAAAUGUUUAGUACACACCAGCUAGAAGAUUGAUAUCUGUGCUUAGAUUCGGGCCUGGGAAGAGCCUGUGUUCCUUUUCUUUGUUGGCAAAGCUGCCACCCGCUCCACACUUGGAACUGCCCCCACCCCCCAGAUCAGAACAGGAAAUAAGUAGCUGUCUUCCUGCAGAGACAGUAUAUGGAAUAGUCUCCUUCAACCUGCUGAAAUGAACUAAUGUAUAGUUGGAAGAAAUAAGAAGAGGAUAAAGGAAAAAGGAAAGAAAAUUAAAAUUGCAGAUCCCAGGAUUUGAACUAAUUUGUCAGUAAGAAUUGCAUUUGAAUGGAAGGAAAUCUAACUCAAUUUAAGGGUUUACGAUCAUCAAGAUCAUACUGGAAGAAUGAGAGAGGGAAAAAGAGAGGUAAUUUUAACAGUUACUUGGUGAGAGGAAAAACGAUGUACAUCAAAGACACAAAUCUGCAUAAAGCAAUGUGAACAUCAGAAAGUGGAAAUGUAAACAUUUGAAUAUAAAAUAAAUCUUCCAUUCUGGAACCAUGACUCAAUCUCUCCAUAACCGCGCAGAGAAGAAUCCAGCACUGGUAAAUGCUGCUGUGAUUUACCACAAGCCUCAAUUUGCCAUACUUUAGCACUAUGCCAAAGGUUGACCUGUUUCCUCAAACCCCUGCUGAGAUCCAUACAGAUGUUCAAGCUUUAAGAAAAUAGUCGAUCAGCUAAAAUUGGUAAAUUCACACAGCUCAUAGUUAAGAAAACUCUGAUAAAUGGUUUGGUGCGGUGUGGAGUGAUUUUAUGUUAAGUGAGAACAUAAGCAACUGUGGCAUUAUGGCUGUAAUGUUUGAAAACCAAUAUCUAUUAUCUGAUAAUAUUUAGUGUUUAUUAUUGAGUGAUGUUUGAUCAGAAUGGUAUCGGAA